rnacentral:lncRNA from 1 species
GUUGCACAUAUAGUAACCCACCAAUAAAACCCUAGAUUCAUGGGAUUGAUCUACUUAGAAGCUUGCCUAGGGUCCAUUUGGCCCAUUCCAAAGCAUAAAAACCCAAAACCCUAAGUUCUAGAAGCUAGGGUUUAGUAGCUUACCUCAAGAGCUACACCAAUGGGAAGAGGAGAGGGAGAUGGAGGUGCUCAAAGCCUUCCUCUUGAUCUCCUCCUUCUUCUCCUUCCUUAUCUUCCUCUUUUUUUCCUUCCUCUCCUUCUUGUUCUUCUUCUUCUCCUUUCCUUUCUAGAGAGAGAGAGAGCAAGAGAGAAAAAGAGUGAGAGAGAGAGAGAAAUGAGAGGCUGAGAGGGGGAGUGGGCUAAUAUGCCCCUCUAUUGUAACAAAAUCCACUUUAGCCCCUCCACUUUUCAUCUCUCAACCUGCUAUCACUAGGCAGUUUUCACCCAGAGGGACCGGUCUCCCCGACAAGGGACCAGUCCCCGAGAGCUGUCCCCGCAGCCUGGGGAUUUUACGCGUACGGGAACCGGUCCUCCCCCGAGGGACCGGUCCCUGGGAGACCGGUCUUUCCUGAGAGACCGGUUCCCGAACGGGGAACUUUCAGGACUUAGCCAAAUUUAGGCUCUCCCUCGCGGGUGUCGCGCACGGGGACCGGUCCCUUCAACCAGGGACCGGUCGCAUCGACCUCCCCCGCGACCAUCAGUUACGGGGACCGGUCCUCCCCUCCAAGGACCGGUCCCCGAGAGCAAAAUCGGCUGAGUCCAGAUUUUGCCUAUUUGCUCUCGCGGACUCAACUCCAAAGCACUUUUUGUGUUUUGGACGUUUUCAACUCCCACAAAUGGUAUACUCUCAACAAUUAGUCGAUCCAGAAUGAAGUACAACUCUCGGAUUUCGAGAAUUCACUUCCUUACACAUAGAAAGGAGCCCGGUUGCUUCGGGAUGACACCACCCACCUUUUGAUGAUGUGGAGGGUUCGGAAACGCUAUUUGGCGUGCUUUACG